CCGGCCACAUUGGGACUGAGAUACGGCCCAAACUCCUACGGGAGGCAGCAGUGGGAAUAUUGCACAAUGGGCGGAAGCCUGAUGCAGCAACGCCGCGUGCGGGAUGACGGCCUUCGGGUUGUAAACCGCCUUCAGCAGGGACGAAGCGUGAGUGACGGUACCUGCAGAAGAAGCACCGGCUAACUACGUGCCAGCAGCUGCGGUGAUACGUAGGGUGCGAGCGUUGUCCGGAUUUAUUGGGCGUAAAGAGCUUGUAGGCGGUUUGUCGCGUCGGGAGUGAAAACUCAGGGCUUAACCCUGAGCCUGCUUCCGAUACGGGCAGACUUGAGGAAGGUAGGGGAGAAUGGAAUUCCUGGUGAAGCGGUGGAAUGCGUAGAUAUCAGGAGGAACACCAGUGGCGAAGGCGGUUCUCUGGACCUUUCCUGACGCUGAGAAGCGAAAGCGUGGGGAGCAAACAGGCUUAGAUACCCUGGUAGUCCACGCCGUAAACGGUGGGUACUAGGUGUGGGGGACAUUCCACGUUCUCCGUGCCGCAGCUAACGCAUUAAGUACCCCGCCUGGGGAGUACGGCCGCAAGGCUAAAACUCAAAGGAAUUGACGGGGCCCCGCACAAGCGGCGGAGCAUGCGGAUUAAUUCGAUGCAACGCGAAGAACCUUACCUGGGUUUGACAUAUGCCGGAAACAUCCAGAGAUGGAUGCCCCUUUUUGGUCGGUUUACAGGUGGUGCAUGGCUGUCGCCAGCUCGUGUCGUGAGAUGUUGGGUUAAGUCCCGCAACGAGCGCAACCCUCGUCCUAUGUUGCCAGCGGGUAAUGCCGGGGACUCAUAGGAGACCGCCGGGGUCAACUCGGAGGAAGGUGGGGAUGACGUCAAGUCAUCAUGCCCCUUAUGUCCAGGGCUUCACGCAUGCUACAAUGGCCGGUACAAAGAGCUGCGAGCCUGUAAGGGUGAGCGAAUCUCAAAAAGCCGGUCUCAGUUCGGAUUGGGGUCUGCAACUCGACCCCAUGAAGUCGGAGUCGCUAGUAAUCGCAGAUCAGCAACGCUGCGGUGAAUACGUUCCCGGGGCUUGUACACACCGCCCGUCAAGUCAUGAAAGUCGGUAACACCCGAAGCCGGUGGCCUAACCCUUGUGGAGGGAGCCGUCGAAGGUGGGACCGGUAAUUAGGACUAAGUCGGAACAAGGUAGCCGUACCGGAAGGUGCGGCUG
rnacentral:rRNA from 1 species